GCCAGGUGUGGUGGCCCACACCUGUAAUCCCAGCUACUUGGGAGGCUGAGGCAGGAGAAUCACUUGAGCCUGGGAGGCAGAAGUUGCAGUGAGCAGAGAUCAUGCCACUGUCCUCCAGUCUGGGUGACAGAGUGAGAUCCUGUCUCAA
ensembl:misc_RNA Metazoa_SRP Metazoan signal recognition particle RNA